rnacentral:rRNA from 1 species
AGAGUUUGAUCCUGGCUCAGAGUGAACGCUGGCGGCGUGCUUAACACAUGCAAGUCGAACGGUAACAGCAGAGCUUGCUCUGGCUGACGAGUGGCGCACGGGUGAGUAAUAUAUAGUUAAUCUGCCUCGAAGACUAGGAUAGCCACUGGAAACGGUGAUUAAUACUAGAUAGUCCUUUCAUUCAUAAGAAUGAUUGGUAAACGUUUUUUCGCUUCGAGAUGAGACUAUAUCCCAUCAGCUUGUUGGUAGUGUAAGAGACUACCAAGGCAAUGACGGGUAGCGGGUUUGAGAGGAUGAUCCGCCACACUGGUACUGAGACACGGACCAGACUCCUACGGGAGGCAGCAGUGAGGAAUAUUGCACAAUGGGGGAAACCCUGAUGCAGCAACGCCGCGUGGAGGAUGACGCAUUUCGGUGUGUAAACUCCUUUUAUAUGUCAAGAAAAUGACGGUAGCAUAUGAAUAAGCACCGGCUAACUCCGUGCCAGCAGCCGCGGUAAUACGGAGGGUGCAAGCGUUACUCGGAAUCACUGGGCGUAAAGGACGCGUAGGCGGGAUGCCAAGUCUGAUGUGAAAUCCUAUGGCUUAACCAUAGAACUGCAUUGGAAACUGGUAACCUAGAGUAUGGGAGGGGGAGAUGGAAUUAGUGGUGUAGGGGUAAAAUCCGUAGAUAUCACUAGGAAUACCGAAAGCGAAGGCGAUCUCCUGGAACAAUACUGACGCUAAGGCGUGAAAGCGUGGGGAGCAAACGGGAUUAGAUACCCCGGUAGUCCACGCCCUAAACGAUGAACACUAGUCGUCGGGAUGCUUGUCAUCUCGGUGAUGCACUUAACAGAUUAAGUGUUCCGCCUGGGGAGUACGGUCGCAAGAUUAAAACUCAAAGGAAUAGACGGGGACCCGCACAAGUGGUGGAGCAUGUGGUUUAAUUCGAAGAUACGCGAAGAACCUUACCUAGCCUUGACAUUGAUUGAAUUCUGUAGAGAUACGGAAGUGCCUUUCGGGGAACAUGAAAACAGGUGCUGCACGGCUGUCGUCAGCUCGUGUCGUGAGAUGUUGGGUUAAGUCCCGCAACGAGCGCAA